AGAGUUUGAUCCUGGCUCAGGAUGAACGCUGGCGGUCUGCUUAACACAUGCAAGUCGAACGGAUUCUUCGGAAUUAGUGGCGGACGGGUGAGUAACGCGUGAGAAUCUGCCCUUAGGUUGGGGACAACAGUUGGAAACGACUGCUAAUACCCAAUGUGCCGAGAGGUGAAAGGUUAACUGCCUGAGGAUGAGCUCGCGUCUGAUUAGCUAGUUGGAGUGGUAACGGCACACCAAGGCGACGAUCAGUAGCUGGUCUGAGAGGAUGAUCAGCCACACUGGGACUGAGACACGGCCCAGACUCCUACGGGAGGCAGCAGUGGGGAAUUUUCCGCAAUGGGCGAAAGCCUGACGGAGCAAGACCGCGUGAGGGAGGAAGGCCUAUUGGUUGUAAACCUCCUUUGAUAGGGAAGAACACAAUGACGGUACCUAUCGAAUCAGCAUCGGCUAACUCCGUGCCAGCAGCCGCGGUAAUACGGAGGAUGCAAGCGUUAUCCGGAUUUAUUGGGCGUAAAGCGUCCGUAGGUGGCAAUCCAAGUCAGUUGUUAAAGCGUAGAGCUUAACUCUAUAACGGCAAUUGAAACUGGAUAGCUAGAGUGCGAUAGGGGCAAGGGGAAUUCCCAGUGUAGCGGUGAAAUGCGUAGAUAUUGGGAAGAACAUCGGUGGCGAAGGCGCCUUGCUGGGUCUGCACUGACACUGAGGGACGAAAGCUAGGGGAGCGAAAGGGAUUAGAUACCCCUGUA
rnacentral:rRNA from 1 species